rnacentral:siRNA from 1 species
UAGAAGGGGUGUCGAUCGACA